rnacentral:lncRNA from 1 species
UAUUAGAUGUUCAAGAGAUCAGAGCCGAAGAGCUCUUGCCAACGGAAGUAAUGGACAAGCUAAAAAAAUUAGAAGAUUCUGUUGAGAAUCUAAGUAAGCAGUUUGUUAUUGUUGUUGUCAUGCUCU